rnacentral:rRNA from 1 species
AACGAACGCUGGCGGCAGGCUUAACACAUGCAAGUCGAGCGCCCCGCAAGGGGAGCGGCAGACGGGUGAGUAACGCGUGGGAAUCUACCCAUCUCUACGGAAUAACGCAUGGAAACGUGUGCUAAUACCGUAUACGUCCUUCGGGAGAAAGAUUUAUCGGAGAUGGAUGAGCACGCGUUGGAUUAGCUAGUUGGUGGGGUAAAGGCCUACAAAGGCGACGAUCCAUAGCUGGUCUGAGAGGAUGAUCAGACACACUGGGACUGAGACAGGGCCCAGACUCUUACGGGAGGCAGCAGUGGGGAAUAUUGGACAAUGGGCGCAAGCCUGAACCAGCCAUGCCGCGUGAGUGAUGAAGGCCCUAGGGUUGUAAAGCUCUUUCACCGUUGAAGAUAAUGUCGGUAACCGGAGAAGAAGCCCCGGCUAACUUCGUGCCAGCCGCCGCAGUAACAC